UGACUUCAGUUAGAGUUUUUACUCAAAUCUGAGAAAAUGCAGGAAAAUACAUUUCCCAGAAUGAACUGAAAUCGAUAUUAAACUCAAACAUAGUACACAAUUUGAGUUUGAGGCAUAGAUAACUUAAGUUGUUUGGACUUUUCUAUUUUAAAAAUGCAGUUCAGUUAAAAGUUUAGCUGUUUCAAAUUGUCAAAACUCGGUUUGAAAUUUCAGU